UAAGCCUGUCGAGGGGCGAAGUCUUCGGAUUGACGGUACCUUCCAGAAAGCACGGCUAACUCCGUGCCAGCAGCCGCGGUAAUACGGAGGGGUGCAAGCGUUGCUCGGAAUUACUGGGCGUAAAGCGUACGCAGGCGGUCUGAUAAGUCGGGUGUGAAAGCCCCGGGCUCAACCCGGGAACUGCAUUCGAAACUGCCAGACUUGAGUUUGGGAGAGGGAAGUGGAAUUCCUGGUGUAGAGGUGAAAUUCGUUGAUAUCAGGAGGAACACCGGCGGCGAAAGCGGCUUCCUGGCCCGAUACUGACGCUCAUGUACGAAAGCGUGGGGAGCAAACAGGAUUAGAUACCCUGGUAGUCCACGCCGUAAACGAUGAGUGCUAGAUGUUGGAGGUAUUCACCCCUUCAGUGUCGAAGCUAACGCAUUAAGCACUCCGCCUGGGGAGUACGGCCGCAAGGUUAAAAACUCAAAGGAAUUGACGGGG
rnacentral:rRNA from 1 species